rnacentral:rRNA from 1 species
CAGCGGCCCUAGUGGUGAUCGUUAUUAUUGGGCCUAAAGCGUCCGUAGCCGGUUCGGUAAAUCUCUGGGUAAAUCGUUGGGCUUAACUCAACGAAUUCUGGGGAGACCGCCGAACUUGGGACCGGGAGAGGUCGGAGGUACUCCAGGGGUAGGGGUGAAAUCCUGUAAUCCUUGGGGGACCACCGGUGGCGAAAGCGUCCGACCAGAACGGGUCCGACGGUAAGGGACGAAGCCCUGGGGCGCGAACCGGAUUAGAUACCCGAGUAGUCC